rnacentral:rRNA from 1 species
GGGCGGCGGAGCUUUAACAUGCAAGUCGAACGGCAGCACGGAAAAAGCUUGCUUUUUUUGGUGGCGAGUGGCGAACGGGUGAGUAAUGUAUCGGAACGUACCCAGUAGCGGGGGAUAACUACGCGAAAGCGUGGCUAAUACCGCAUAUGCCCUACGGGGGAAAGGGGGGGAUCGCACGACCUCUCACUAUUGGAGCGGCCGAUAUCGGAUUAGCUGGUUGGUGAGGUAGAGGCUCACCAAGGCUGCGAUCCGUAGCUGGUUUGAGAGGACGACCAGCCACACUGGGACUGAGACACGGCCCAUACUCCUACGGGAGGCAGCAGUGGGGAAUUUUGGACAAUGGGGGCAACCCUGAUCCAGCCAUCCCGCGUGUGCGAUGAAGGCCUUCGGGUUGUAAAGCACUUUUGGCAGGGAAAAAAGGGCGCUGGUUAAUAGCUGGCGUUGAUGACGGUACCUGCAGAAUAAGCACCGGCUAACUACGUGCCAGCAGCCGCGGUAAUACGUAGGGUGCAAGCGUUAAUCGGAAUUACUGGGCGUAAAGGGUGCGUCGGCGUGUUGGCAAGAAAGGUGUGAAAUCCCAGGGCUUAACCUUGUAACUGCACUUUUAACUGCCAGGCUAGAGUACGUCAGAGGGGGGUAGAAUUCCACGUGUAGCGAUGAGAUGCGUAGAGAUGAGGAGGAAUACCGAUGGCGAAGGCAGCCCCCUGCGAUGAUACUGACGCUCAGGCACGAAAGCGUGGAGAGAAAACAGGAUUAGACACCCUGAUACUCCACGCCCUAAACUAUGUAAACUAUCUGUUGGGCCCAUUAGGCUUUAUUACCGCCCUAACGCGUGAAGUUAACCGCCCUGGGGAGUACCGUCCGCAAGAUUAAAACCUCACAGGAAUUGACGGGGGACCCGCUCAGCGGUGCAUGAUGUGGACUAAUCUCUAUGCACGCGUAAAUCUUUCCCUGCCUCUCACAUGUCUGGAAUGCCCUAGAAAUUUGCUGUGCUGCCUAAAGAUCGGUAACACAG